GGCACUAUGGCCGAGUGGUUAAGGCGAGAGAUUCGAAUGGUGUAGGCUUAUCUCUUCCGCGUUGCGGGCGCAGGUUCAAGUCCUGCUGGUGUCG